GAUCCAGAGAUUUCCGAAUGGGGGAACCCAACAUCUUUAAUAGGAUGUUACGAUUGUGUGAAUACAUAGCACAUUCGAGGUAGACGCAGAGAACUGAAACAUCUAAGUACCUGCAGGAAGAGAAAGAAAAUUCGAUUCCCUGAGUAGCGGCGAGCGAAACGGGAAAAGCCCAAACCAGCAAGCUUGCUUGUUGGGGUUGUAGGACUCCAAUAUGGUAGUUCUUUCAGAUAGUCGAAUGACUUGGAAAAGUCAGUCAAAGAGGGUAAAAACCCCGUAGACGAAAUGUGGAAGACACCUAGGAGGAUCCUGAGUACGGCGGAACACGAGAAAUUCCGUCGGAAUCCGGGAGGACCAUCUCCCAAGGCUAAAUACUCCCUAGUGACCGAUAGUGAACCAGUACCGUGAGGGAAAGGUGAAAAGCACCCCGGAAGGGGAGUGAAAUAGAACCUGAAACCGUGUGCCUACAACAAGUCAAAGCCCGUUAAUGGGUGAUGGCGUGCCUUUUGUAGAAUGAACCGGCGAGUUACGAUUGCAUGCGAGGUUAAGUUGAAGAGACGGAGCCGCAGCGAAAGCGAGUCUGAAUAGGGCGUUUGAGUAUGUAGUCGUAGACCCGAAACCAUGUGAUCUACCCAUGUCCAGGUUGAAGGUGCGGUAAAACGCACUGGAGGACCGAACCCACGUACGUUGAAAAGUGCGGGGAUGAGGUGUGGGUAGCGGAGAAAUUCCAAACGAACUUGGAGAUAGCUGGUUCUCUCCGAAAUAGCUUUAGGGCUAGCCUCGGAAUUGAGAAUGAUGGAGGUAGAGCACUGUUUGGACUAGGGGCCCAUCUCGGGUUACCGAAUUCAGAUAAACUCCGAAUGCCAUUCAUUCAUAUCCGGGAGUCAGACUGUGAGUGAUAAGAUCCAUAGUCGAAAGGGAAACAGCCCAGACCACCAGCUAAGGUCCCAAAAUAUAUGUUAAGUGGAAAAGGAUGUGGGGUUGCACAGACAACUAGG
rnacentral:rRNA from 1 species